GACAGUUUGGCCGAGUGGUCUAAGGCGCUAGGCUCCGGUCCGAAAGGGCGUGGGUUCAAAUCCCACAGCUGUCA
rnacentral:tRNA from 1 species